UACGUAGGGAGCGAGCGUUGUCCGGAAUUACUGGGCGUAAAGGGCGCGUAGGCGGGAUAUUAAGUCAGGUGUGAAAACGUAGGGCUUAACUUUACGAUUGCACAUGAAACUAAUAUUCUUGAGGACAGGAGAGGAAAGCGGAAUUCCUAGUGUAGCGGUGAAAUGCGUAGAUAUUAGGAGGAACACCAGUGGCGAAGGCGGCUUUCUGUACUGUAACUGACGCUGAGGCGCGAAAGCGUGGGUAGCGAACGGGAUUAGAUACCCGGGUAGUCCCUGAGCGGGCU
rnacentral:rRNA from 1 species